rnacentral:misc_RNA from 1 species
GAUGAAGAACGUAGCGAAAUGCGAUAAGUAAUGUGAAUUGCAGAAUUCAGUGAAUCAUCGAAUCUUUGAACGCACAUUGCGCCCGCCAGUAUUCUGGCGGGCAUGCCUGUUCGAGCGUCAUUUCAACCCUCAAGCCCAGCUUGGUGUUGGGGAUCGGCACAGGCGCCCUCGGGCGCCCGCCGUCCCCUAAAUCUAGUGGCGGUCCCGCUGCAGCCUCCUCUGCGUAGUAGUUUUCUCCUCGCAAGGGCAGCUCGGUGGCGACCUCGCCGUAAAACCCCCAACUUCUGAAAGGUUGACCUCGAAUCAGGUAGGAAUACCCGCUGAACUUAAGCAUAUCAAUAGCGGAGGA